GCCAGCGUGGCACAAUUGGUCAGCGCGGUAUGUAUAGUACGCCUCAAUGGAUGUGAAUUUUAUUCUAACAAAUGUAAGUGAGACUUUUAUAAGAAAAUCUCAAGGUUGCGAGUUCGAGCCUCGCCGUUGGCU
rnacentral:tRNA from 1 species